rnacentral:rRNA from 1 species
GGGGGAAUAUUGCACAAUGGGCGAAAGCCUGAUGCAGCAACGCCGCGUGAGGGAAGACGGUUUUUCGGAUUGUAAACCUCUGUUUUCGGUGACGAACAAAUGACGGUAACCGAGUAGGAAGCCACGGCUAACUACGUGCCAGCAGCCGCGGUAAUACGUAGGGGGCGAGCGUUGUCCGGAAUGACUGGGCGUAAAGGGUGUGUAGGUGGUUUGAUAAGUUAGAUGUGUAAUACCCAGGGCUUAACUCGGGUGCUGCAUCUAAAACUGUUAGACUUGAGUACUGGAGAGGAUAGUGGAAUUCCUAGUGUAGCGGUGGAAUGCGUAGAUAUUAGGAGGAACAUCAGUGGCGAAGGCGACUAUCUGGACAGCAACUGACACUGAGGCACGAAAGCGU